rnacentral:rRNA from 1 species
UGCCAGCCGCCGCGGUAAGACGAACCGUACGAACGUUAUUCGGAAUCACUGGGCUUAAAGGGUGCGUAGGCGGCUUGCCAAGUUGGGUGUGAAAUCCCUCGGCUCAACCGAGGAACUGCGCUCAAAACUGGCAAGCUUGAGGGAGAUAGAGGUGAGUGGAACUCAGGGUGGAGCGGUGAAAUGCAUUGAUAUCCUGAGGAACGCCAGUUGCGAAAGCGGCUCACUGGGUCUCUUCUGACGCUGAGGCACGAAAGCUAGGGUAGCGAACGGGAUUAGAUA